rnacentral:rRNA from 1 species
GAUGAACGCUGGCGGCGUGCCUAAUACAUGCAAGUCGAGCGAACAGACGAGGAGCUUGCUCCUUUGACGUUAGCGGCGGACGGGUGAGUAACACGUAGGUAACCUACCUAUAAGACUGGGAUAACUUCGGGAAACCGGAGCUAAUACCGGAUAAUAUUUCGAACCGCAUGGUUCGAUAGUGAAAGAUGGCUUUGCUAUCACUUAUAGAUGGACCUGCGCCGUAUUAGCUAGUUGGUAAGGUAACGGCUUACCAAGGCAACGAUACGUAGCCGACCUGAGAGGGUGAUCGGCCACACUGGAACUGAGACACGGUCCAGACUCCUACGGGAGGCAGCAGUAGGGAAUCUUCCGCAAUGGGCGAAAGCCUGACGGAGCAACGCCGCGUGAGUGAUGAAGGUCUUCGGAUCGUAAAACCCUGUUAUUAGGGAAGAACAACCUUGUAAGUAACUGUGCACGUCUUGACGGUACCUAAUCAGAAAGCCACGGCUAACUACGUG